CUGUCCAGAGCGCAGAGGCGGCUCAGCUCGUAGCUUUUUCACCGCGUUUUCUGCGCUCCACAGGAGGGAACACCGCGGCGCCGCCUCUGCGCUCCCGGAUCUGGCGCAGCGCAAGGCCUGGGCACCCAGCCUCAGCCACCCUCCCGGACCUGGAGCCCGCGCAUCGGUCUCUGGAGCUGGCUGGCCCCUGUCCCCACGGAUCCCCCCGGAAAUCCUCACCGGGGGCUGCAGAGCUCUGCCUUGCUUCCUCAGCUUCCAGCCUCCCGUCUCCUCUGUGUUUCCAAAUCUGCCCUCUCUCUCCUAGCGAAUUCCAGCUCCCCGGAGGCCCUCUCUCAUUUCUCCCACCUCUUUCUCUCCUCUGCUUGAAUUUGACUCCAGUAGCCCCAAAACAGGAUUUGCACCAAAGCUGCUACACCAAAUUUAGAUCUCCCCACGCCCCGGCGUUUUGUUUUUUAAUUGCAUUAACUAAGUAUACACUUUGCAGGCUGCUAGGCGAUUUGCAAGGAGAUAAUGUUUCCACAACCCUCCUCUCCACUUGGCUGCAGUCAAGGGCUUCUCAGGGCAUCUUCAGAGAACGAAAAGUUGGGCGACAUGUAAAAUGGUUUACUAGGGUCCCCUGAAUUGAGAAAGGGUGGGAGGAUUUAUUGGGACUCUGUUGCAAGUUUUCUCCAAAUGAGAAGUUUGGCUAAUCGCCCCUUCUCUUUGAAAAAAAAAGUCACAUUUUGAUGUUUCAAAAAAGAUUUGCAAACACACAGCAAGACAUUGACAGGGCAUACCCAGGAGUAUUAUAUUCCAAACCCAUCUGGGGAAGGUAUGAACACGUUUAAUCCAGAUUCACCAGAUUCAUUAUAAUAGAAUCCCCAAAAUAGGAGAGUAUGGAAAGUCUGUCAUGACUGGCAACCCACGCCCACCACCACCUUGUGAGUCCUACAAACACAAGCACUGGUGUGUGAGAGCUAAUGAGAGCUGACAUUUAUUCAGUGCCUGCAACAUACUCACUAAGCUUGCUUUUUCUAAAAGCAGCUCCUCAAGAAAGCUUAGAGCAGUGCCCAGCGUAUAGCAGACAGUCUGGAAAUAUUUGCUGAACCACCGAGUGACUGGUUUCAUGUAACUCUCUCUCCCUUAGGUAAUAGUACCAGGCC
rnacentral:lncRNA from 1 species